CACGGUCCCCUGCACACAAAGGCCAAAGCGGACUAUUCCGUUUAAUAUUUGCCUUCAUCAAUAGACACGCUGCCUUUUGUGCAUGUGACAUCACAUAUCGACGGUUCCACAAAAAUGGCAAAAUACAUUGUCUACGGGAUAUUUGAUUUCCAAAAUUAAACACGAAUCACGACUUUGUCAAGGCAGACAGAAUAUGUGCACUUUAUUUUUUUUUUACGGACACUUGGCAUAAAACAAUGCAACUUUAGAGGUCAAUAAAGCAACAACAAAAAAAGAUGAAUGAUUAGGAGGAUGAUGAUGAUAGUGAUAACCACAGCAAUUAAGCAGUUUGAUUAAACGAGGCAUCAUAACAACAAUGAUGUUUGUGAAAACACCCCUCAUAUAAAAAGUAAGAUAGUGCAGCGGUUGAGAUACGCCAGUGGGCAUUCCAACACGCUUCUGCCUGAGUUUACCAGGGAGUAUUGACAAUGCAGGACACCGCCGAAAAUCCGCUCCCAAAAUACUUUUACGCAUUGUCCCCCCUCUCUUCUUCCCCCGAAAAGAAAAAAAAAAGACGUCCAGCUACUGAAGACCAAGCUGCCUUCCGAGACGUUCUUCAAAUAAUACUUUUCUGGUAUACUGUGCUAGCGACCUGUCCUCCUGUACAGCGUGGUAUCACGAACCGUCAAUGGAGUGUCGAGUGACAGAAGCUCAUAACAAGGAAGGAAAACGUAAAGGAAGACGAUGACAUUACGGAUCUGCAAUUAUUUUGGUGAUCUCGUUUACAAAAGGGAUAGGUUUGAGUUUUCCCGACAUUACCCACGGUUAACGCUUUCUUUAGUUUAAUUUAGAUUGUCUUUUAUUCUACGAUUAUGUGAGUGUGUCUUCAUUGCCGGUUCGGGCGUACAAUGUUUUUUUUCCCCUGGACUAUGUAAAUUUCUUCAUUUCUUCUCAGCAAAACUUUGGAGACUUCGCUUGCUCGGGUAAAGAGGUAAGACACGGCAGUGAAUCCAAACAUUUGCAUUUUGUGGAUAUUUCAAUCAGUCACUUUGUUCCAGAACCAUGUUACCUAAAUCGCUAAAAUAGUAGAGGUAUAGCUUGCUUAGUUUUUUAAUGAAUCAGAAACCUCAUUUUAUUCCACCCAAAAUAGGGAUAGGAAAAAAGAUCGCGGGGGAUUACGUUGAACUUCUGUUGACCCCAAUGCAAAUACGGCUUUAACAAGCCCUUCGCACUGGGUCUGAUGUGAAGUCGUUACCUGCAAACGGCCUCGUAUUAAAUGUAACGCAUUCCCUUAUACUGCCCCAAUCUCGGCAAAAUCAACUAAAGCGAGAGAUAUGAACUUUUGUAAAGUGCUCUGCCUUGGUGGGCGAUUAGUUCAUCCGAAGGCACUUCUUUUCGACAGCCCUUUAGCGCUAUCUGGCGGGGCUGGGUGUAGUAAUCCAGUUACUAAUAUAUACUCAACUGUAUUCCCCGAAAUAUAUCAGAAAGCCUUGUAGCCGUACAAAGUUUAUUUACCAGCAGGACUAGGUCAGCGAUCGUUUUUUUAAAUGAGCAGAUUAUAUUGUACGCAUUGAAUCUAAUUCAAACACAGUUCAAUUUGAUAACGUUGCCUCCAACACGCCAAUGAUCUCAUUUCGUUUUCAUUAUCGAGAGGGUAAACUUUUCGAUGACCGUAUUACCAUGCAGCCUGGAAUGUUGAAAUGCGUGCACUUUGCGAUCGCUGCAUUGCCUAUUCGCUGUUCUACGUACUUUUAUCUUCGCCUCACCUCCCAAAGUAAUUGAUUUCAAAAUUAAUACAUUUUUUUGUUUUGGGAGCUAAGGGCGGUAAUUCUAAAUUGUCAGAACUGAUUGCCGAUAUUAUCUUUCCUCCUUAAGUGCAUUUUAAAAGAUAUCACACAUAAAGACUAAUUAUUUUGAUCGCACAAUGCCUGACUGCUUGCGAGGGAGAUCAACCAUGCAUGGCUGAAAAUUUGGAGGUCACUUUUGCGAGAACUUUUUAAUCGCUAUCGCUGUUGUGGAAAUGAUAACACCACAAUACUUCGCCCACACAAUGCUCCUUCCGCACGCGAAUCGCGCAUGAAAGCAUUUUAAAGAAUCGUUACCUGUUUCGUGAAGAGUGUUAAUUUCUUUGCUGGGGGGGGGGGGGGUUAGACGAAACGUAUUAAGGAUAUUUAGCUGGAUUUUUUUUUUCUUUACUUGGCUGAAUGUUUACAAUCAUUCAUUCGGUAAUAUAUAAACCCCUUCCCGUUUAUGUGUUGUUUAUUUAUCACUCGCAAGGCAAGCGGUAUUUCUUUUUAGCAAUGUUUUACAUUAACCGAAUAAUGGAAAAAACAAAACAGGGCGAUUUAGGUAGUUAUUUUGGAUGUUAAUAGACUAUGCUUCUCUGCUUCUUAAACACAAGCUUGUCGUGUUUAUAAGUAGUGGGAUCAUUUAAUGAGUGUCAUUAAAGCGUGUUUCCAUUGCAAUUAUCCCUGGAUUAGAACCACCAAACCAGGUUAAUUUGAAAAAAAGCAAUUAGUGCCGACUGUAACAAAGCAACGAGCAAAUCUUUAUGGACUUUUUGUAAUAGUCUUGCGAUAAAUUCCGCCCUUUCCCUAUCUUGUGCAUAUAGCCCUUUUAAUCUUGUACAAAAAGGAACGCUAAUUUAGUUUCAUACAAUGCUUAACAUUAACAUAUUACAGCAGCUGGUUUGUGAUUUUCCCUUCUUUCUGUGGCGCGAACGCGUAUGUUUUAUGUUCUUAUCUUCAAUAAAGCUAUUUUAACCGAUUUUGUCCUCGAUGGUUUGACCUAAUUAAAUGUAACUUCUUGUCUAUACGCUAUUUUGGGUUGCACUGGAAAUUGGUUGCAAAUGGCAGUUAUUGAAAUCACGAAUCAUUCUGCUUCAUCUCUGCAGACACCCAGGAGGCAUAUAGUAGCUCUUUAAAAAUGAUGUAUACAGUUUCCAGUGUGAUCCAAAAGAGGACAAUAACUACGGCUCCCUCGUGUAAGGGAAGAACUUAAGAACAGACGGAAAUCUAUUAUCCAUGUCCUACUUCGAAAGUCUUCGUUUUAAAGCGCGAAUGCAACCCACCACUACCCGACUGAGAAAAAGCACACAAAAAGUUUUUUUUAAUGCAAAGAAGCCAGGUUGUUGAGUAAGCAAUAAGGCGGUGGAUGAUCUGUUGUUUCGUGAAGGUCAGGUCACGGGCGAGCUUUUCUCCCGCAGAUCAUUAGGUGUAAUUGGGUAAGUUUAAGUGGACUUGGGAUGCCUGUACUUAAGUUAAUAGCAAUGACCUUCUUGUGGCUGCCCUGUCCAACAUUAUUCAUCGUUGCCAGGCCGAUUUGAAAGCGAUUCCCAUUCUGGCUUUCCAGGGGUAUUUCAGAAUACGACCCCAGUAAUGACAUUGCGGGAAAUCCCAUCACAUUUUUUGUUUGGUCAUUAAUAUGAGGCAAGAAAAGCAGAUAACAUUUAAUCCGAGUACCAUUGUGAAUCAAUCAGAACAAACGUGCACUUCAGCGGUAAAUAUUGUAUCGAUUCAUCGAAUUACAAUGCAUGUGUACAAAGCGCAUUGGACUUCAUUACAAUAUACAGUGUAAGUUAAACUAUUUUAAAUUAAAAAAACAUUCCCGAAUGAUGCACUUGCUAUUCGAAUCCCGUCUGUUACUUUCAAAAAUAUAAACUGAGUGUCAUUUUUCCAAAUGCAGAUUGACAUGGAAUAUCGAUUUAAUUACUAAAUGAAUAAAAAUAACUUAGCCAAUCAAUUGGUCUCUCCGCUGGCUAUCACGAAACUUAUGUUGCCGUCUCAUUUUUAUUGAGUUAAGUAAACGGGAGGAGGGAGGGAGAGAAUACGCACGGAGUGCGAAGAAAUGCAGUAGAUCAAAUUUGAUUACAUUUGGUCAAAAAACUCCCUUUUUAACUCAGAUUCGUUAGAAGCG